GCGGCUGCGUGGGGUUUUCGAGACCAAGAACCUCACAGGCUUCGCCAUCGACUAUUGCCAUGGUGGGAAUCUGCAUUCUCUCCGGAAGAAGCAAUCUCAGAACAUGUUCUCCGAAGAAACCAUAAGGUACCCAAUUCAUACGUUUUCUGUGAAAAAAAAAAACAUUCUCAGAACAUGUUGAAUUUUUCCUUCAUUUUGGAACUGAUUUGAUUCAAUGUUCUUUUUGCAUGUGAAGGUUUUACGCUGUUGAAUUGGUCCUGGCGUUGGAGUAUUUGCACAAUUUUGGAGUGGUGUACAGAGAUUUGAAGCCUGAGAACAUCAUGAUCCAAGAAACCGGUCACAUAAUGCUGGUGGAUUUCGACCUCUCCAAGAAGCUGAACCCAAGAUCAC
rnacentral:lncRNA from 1 species